rnacentral:rRNA from 1 species
GGGUGGUAAUGCCGGAUGUUCCAGUUGAUCGCAUGGUCUUCUGGGAAAGCUUUCGCGGUAUGGGAUGGGGUCGCGUCCUAUCAGCUUGACGGCGGGGUAACGGCCCACCGUGGCUUCGACGGGUAGCCGGCCCGAGAGGGCGACCGGCCACAUUGGGACUGAGAUACGGCCCAGACUCCUACAGGAGGCAGCAGUGGGGAAUAUUGCACAAUGGGCGCAAGCCUGAUGCAGCGACGCCGCGUGAGGGAUGGAGGCCUUCGGGUUGUAAACCUCUUUUGAUCGGGAGCAAGCCUUCGGGUGAGUGUACCUUUCGAAUAAGCACCGGCUAACUACGUGCCAGCAGCCGCGGUAAUACGUAGGGUGCAAGCGUUAUCCGGAAUUAUUGGGCGUAAAGGGCUCGUAGGCGGUUCGUCGCGUCCGGUGUGAAAGUCCAUCGCUUAACGGUGGAUCUGCGCCGGGUACGGGCGGGCUGGAGUGCGGUAGGGGAGACUGGAAUUCCCGGUGUAACGGUGG